rnacentral:rRNA from 1 species
UACGGAGGGCCCAAGCGUUAUUCGGAUUUAUUGGGUUUAAAGGGUGCGUAGGCGGAUUGGUAAGUCAGAGGUGAAAUCCCACAGCUUAACUGUGGAACUGCCUUUGAUACUGCCAACCUUGAGUACAGAUGAUGUGGGCGGAAUAUGACAUGUAGCGGUGAAAUGCUUAGAUAUGUCAUAGAACACCGAUUGCGAAGGCAGCUCACAAAACUGUAACUGACGCUGAGGCACGAAAGCAUGGGGAUCGAACAGG